GGAGAACCAAGAGUUCAUUUCAGAAUGGAUCAAAGUUUCUCCAAGCAGGAGAAUCAACUUUAGUUCACCCGAGCUGAAGAGUUGUUACUUUGUGGAGCAGACAAAGGAACAAUAAGCCAUUUUGGCAGAGGACAGCAGAACCUGAUAGUGCCAUAUGUCGUCCGGUCAGAUCUACAAAUGAACAGCUGAAACAUUUGUCUACACCACUUGUUGAAGCCUGUGAAACUUGCACUUAAGGGAAUAGAACGGAAGGCCAUAUCAUGGAAACCAUUUAAGAGAUUCCACUUCCUUCGUAAACCACGGCUCCCGCGCUCUACAG